AUUGGGCGCCGAUUUCCAAUUUUCACAUUUCUUCGCUCUUUAAAUAGGUGAACACUCUGGAGGAGGAACUCUCACAUCGUUCCUGAGGUGACCGAAGCUGAGAUUCAACACAGCACGGUUCGCGCGAAUUCUAUUUAUUUUUGGUUAAUUUCUCCGCGGUUCGAUUUCCUCUCUUGAGCUUUGAUAAGAACACUUUGUCCUUGAAUUUGUGUUUGAUUUUCGACAAAUUUUUGUGUUUGUGAAUUUUAAUCUGGGAUUAUAUCUAUUGGUGACAUAUGAGUAAGGUCAAUUUUGGUCCUAAAGAUACUACCAAAAUACGAAUUUGGUCCAAAAUAUUCACUUUUUGAAAACAGGUCCAUACGAAAUAAAAUCCUUGUCGAAACGGACCUGUUUUUUUACGGUUCCGUCAAAAACCUAACCAUCAUGCCACUAUGUAAUUAGCGUUGACCGUUACUUUUUUACGAAACCGUAAAAAAAAGGACUAUUUCGUCGACAUUUUCAUUUGUUAUGAACCUAUUUUUCAAAAUUGGACAAAACUCGUAUUUUGAUUAUAUGUUUAGGACUAAAAUUGACCUUUACUCUUUUGGUCAUAUUUUGGUUAUCUCCAGAAAAUGGAAGUCAGUAUCCGCGCUGAAUUCCCCAACUCGGACAUAAAGGGUACCCCGCAUGCUACUUCCAAGAUUUUGCUUGGAAAAAGAGCUAAAACAGCCUGCAAGGAAUCUUGUCACCGACUAGGGUGGGCUUCAAUCCCAUGGGAUUUCAAAAUUGACUGUGAUGACGUGAAGUGGGAGUAGAUUGUGAAGAUGGUUUAAUGUAUAUCCAAACUGCGAGUGUCGGCUGAAAAGCAUGCUAAGUUCAUGCAGCCGAAGUCUUCGCCCUUUUGGGAGACAUGGAAGAGCAAUUUUGGUAAGGACCGAGCAACCGGAUCUACAACUGAAGACAUCGGGGAUGCUACUGCACGACGCGUCCCCAGGAAAAUUUGGGAACUGAAUGCAAUGAAAAUGAUUACCACUCAUGUAUGGACGACGUCCGAGAUGAGCAGAGCAGUCCUUAAACAGGGUCGGAACAUUGGGUGAAUUGGCGACUGAAGUGACGUGAAGCUGUGUGGGUUAUUACUAAAAUAUGUAGUAUAGUAUUAUGUCAAAUGUGCAGCUACUGUGUGUGAAUUUUGGUAGACAUUGGAUCAUCGUGUGCUUGGUACCCAUUUUAUUUUGUGGUACGUUAACCAGUUGUGAAAAUUAUAUUACAAGGAUGAAAAUUAACACGA